rnacentral:misc_RNA from 1 species
UACCAUUACUGGCUGCUCAUU